rnacentral:misc_RNA from 1 species
GAUGAAGAACGCAGCAAAAUGCGAUAAGUAAUGUGAAUUGCAGAAUUCAGUGAAUCAUCGAAUCUUUGAACGCACAUUGCGCCCGCCAGUAUUCUGGCGGGCAUGCCUGUUCGAGCGUCAUUUCAACCCUCAAGCACAGCUUGGUGUUGGGACUCGCGUUAAUUCGCGUUCCUCAAAUUGAUUGGCGGUCACGUCGAGCUUCCAUAGCGUAGUAGUAAAACCCUCGUUACUGGUAAUCGUCGCGGCCACGCCGUUAAACCCCAACUUCUGAAUGUUGACCUCGGAUCAGGUAGGAAUACCCGCUGAACUUAAGCAUAUCAAUAAGGGAGGA